GGGCCCCAGGGGGCCGGAGCCGGACCGGGAUUGGGAUCGGGGCCGGGGCCGGGAGAAGGAAAGCCACCGCUCCGACGUUGAGGCGGGAAGCGAAUCCAGCGGCGGCGCCUCAGCCCUGUUUGAGGAGUUCCUGAGUGCGACCCCCGGCGCGGGGCCCGGGGCGAUGCCCUGUGCCGCGCGUGAGGACACGAGAACUUAAAACUAUGAGUCAAGCUGGUGAAGAAAGUUCCAGUGUCACAGAAUUUGCAACUGAGAAUGAGCAACAAUUGACUCCAACAAUCUAUAGCCGAGACGAGGGAUCCACUGACGUAACAGCAAGUCCUGCAUUUCAGUGUUUAGAUGAGCUAUUUUCUGCUGGAAAAAUCACAGACACCAAAGCAGCUGAGCUGAAGGAACAGUAUACCCUGCUGCAUAAGACUGUGAUAAGGUAUAAUAUUCUAUUUUUAGACUUUUAGUAGCCAAAGCAUUAC